AUGAACUCGAGCCCGAUGACAGCGACGAGGAGGAUGGCGAGGUUGAAACCGUAGCCGAUCUUCCACGAGUCGUGGCCGCCGCCGACGUGGAUCCCGAGCACGAUGUUGACGGCGGCGAAGAAGAGCACCAGCCUGCCCGACCAGUGGUGGUACCAGUUCCAGUACUUGCGGUACUUGGAGUCCGUGUUGGGCCUCAGGAAGAAGGCCAGAACCUGUCAGAUGCCGAGGAAAAGGAUGAAGAUGCCGAGGCCACGGUGCGCCGGGAUGUCGGCCUGGAUCUUGCUGUACAGCGCCACGCCGGCGACGACGCCGGCGAGGCCGAUGAUGAAGGCGGCGAACUGGAUGCCGACGUGGAGGUAG
rnacentral:rRNA from 1 species